CACGUAGUUAGCCGUGGCUUCCUCCUCUGGUACCGUCAUUAUCGUCCCAGAAGACAGAGCUUUACAACCCGAAGGCCUUCAUCACUCACGCGGCGUUGCUGCAUCAGGCUUUCGCCCAUUGUGCAAUAUUCCCCACUGCUGCCUCCCGUAGGAGUCUGGACCGUGUCUCAGUUCCAAUGUGGCCGUUCACCCUCUCAGGCCGGCUACGCAUCGUGGCCUUGGUGAGCCGUUACCUCACCAACUAGCUAAUGCGCCGCGGGUCCAUCUUGUAGCGGAUUGCUCCUUUGAUUAAAAUAUCAUGCGAUAUCUCAAUGUUAUGCGGUAUUAAUCUUCCUUUCGGAAGGCUAUCCCCCUCUACAAGGCAGGUUACCCAGUGUUACUCACCCGUCCGCCGCUAGGACCGAAGUCCCCGCUCGACUUGCAUGUGUUAGGCACGCCGCCAGCGUUCGUCCUGAGCCGAGGAUCAAACUCU
rnacentral:rRNA from 1 species